UACGUAGGGGCCUAGCGUUGUCCGGAUUUAUUGGGCGUAAAGAGCUCGUAGGCGGUUUGGUGAGUCGGGUGUGAAAUCUCCACGCUCAACGUGGAGGAGCCACCCGAUACUGCCAUGACUAGAGUCCGGUAGGGGGAGUGUGGAACGUUCCCGGUGUGAGCGGAUGAAAUGCGCAGGAAUAUCGGGGAAGAACACCCCGUGGGCUAAGGCGGCUCUCUAGUACGGUACUGACGCUGAGACGCGAAAGCGUGGGGAGCGAACAGG
rnacentral:rRNA from 1 species